UUUAUAAAUAAUAUCUUAUUUGUGUAUCGCAAUUAGAACCGAUUAAAACACAGUUUGUAUAAUCUAAUAAAAAAAGAGUAUAUUUUUAGAAUAAACUUCAAAUACCAUCCUGUGGUUUUGCACUUUCUCACUUUAGUACCAUGUGGUUUAAAAUAUAUCAAGUUAGUGUCCUAUGGUUUCAUUUUUAUCUUUUCGUCCGCAUUUUCGUUAAUAUUUCAUUAAAUUAUAUACAAAAAUAUCAUAUAUCCCAUCUAGAUUUAUCAAAUAUUCACUUUAGUAUCAUUUAAUUUUAACUUUAUUACUGAUUUAACAAAAAAAAUUAAUAAAAUCGAUAAUAAAAGAAUAAAUAUGAAACCACACGACAAUAAAUUGGUACAUUUUAAACUAUAUAGUACUCAAGUGAGAAAGUGUGGAACUACGGGGAUGGUAUUUGAAGUUUUCCCAUAUUUUUAUGUGCUUUUCUAUCUCAACUCU
rnacentral:lncRNA from 1 species